AGAGAGGGAGAAAAGAGAGAUUGGAGAGAAACUUUUAGUAACAUUGGUGGGUCAACAACCCUAAGGUCACUAGUUGGACUGUCAUACUCUAUUCGAGGAUUAUAUUAUUUCGUUUUCAGGUGAUAGAAGGACUUAAAGUGGACUCGUGGCGUAGCGGGGACUCAAUUGCAUGGACCUCUAGGACAUUCAUUAUUUUGUUUUAGCUUGUUAUAUCGGUUUUGUGCAUACAUUGUGGUUGGGUUUUAUUUAGAAUUAUUUUAUUUUGUGAGCG